CUUCCGGUCCCGCCGCCCCGGAGCCGGCGCCGCCGUGAGGGGCCGCGUCUCUCCGCCGCCGCCGAGCGGGCCGGGCAUGGUGUUGGGCCCCGGGCCGCCUCACCUGACUCGGGGUGCCCAGGGUAAAGGCAGCAGUGAUGCUAACUCUGGCAAGCAAAUUGAAGCGGGAUGACGGUCUCAGAGGGCCCCGCUCCUCAGCCACAGCUUCCGACUCCACCCGGAGGGUGUCUGUGAGAGACAAGCUGCUCGUCAAAGAGGUCGCAGAACUUGAAGCUAAUUUACCUUGUACCUGUAAAGUGCAUUUUCCUGAUCCAAACAAGCUUCAUUGCUUCCAGCUAACUGUAACCCCAGAUGAGGGUUACUACCAGGGUGGAAAAUUUCAGUUUGAAACUGAAGUUCCUGAUGCCUACAACAUGGUGCCCCCCAAAGUGAAAUGCUUGACCAGAAUCUGGCAUCCAAACAUCACAGAGACAGGGGACAUCUGUCUGAGUUUACUGCGAGAACAUUCGAUUGACGGCACUGGCUGGGCUCCCACGCGGACGCUGAAGGAUGUGGUUUGGGGAUUAAACUCAUUAUUUACUGAUCUCUUGAAUUUUGAUGAUCCAUUGAAUAUUGAAGCCGCAGAGCACCAUCUGCGGGACAAGGAGGACUUCCGGAACAAAGUGGAAGAGUACAUUAAGCGUUACGCAAGAUGAUACAAGGAGAGGCCUGCAGGACCAGGGAUUGCGUGAUCACUUUGUCUCUCACUUAACCAGCCAGAGCGAGCCCCUCCUUCCCCGUCCUCACGUGCCCUCUCCACCCCCUGGGCCGUGCCAGCCCGCGACCACGCUGUACCGAAAAGAAGAAAAGCUUCCUAACUGCCCGUGUUAGAUGGAGAGUUCAGCAUAAAUACAGCAAGAAAAUGUGUGUAGGGUUCUAAAGAGUUGUCUGCUUACCUUAACAUGUUCACUGUGUUUGAAACUAUACUGUAUAGGCUGCCGAUGGGAUUCUCGCGAAGUUUUAAUGAACUCAGAAGCGAGGCUAGAGCUUGCUUACCCCUUUCCAAACAGACCCGUUUCCUGCACAAGUGCCGCUAGCGACUGUUCAGUGUAACCCGCAGGUUGACAGAAGCUCGCACAGACCGUGCUCGGAUGACAGUUCUCUUAGCUCCCCGCAGGACUGUGGCCCGCCCAGUGUCCCGAAGCUUCCCUGAAGGCAUAGACUCAUUAACUGCCCACCCUACUGAGAUGCGUAUUUUAUUUAAUCCCUGGGCCUUGCCCUUCUUGUUUCUGAUCAAGGGCGUGAAUGUUAGCGCACCGUCCGGGGAGCCACAGCUAACUCUCACAAUCCUGGCCUGGGCUCCAAGCCCUGAGAUCUCAGAAGGCUGCUGGUAUGAUUUCCCCAACUGCAGACUCGCCCAGGUGACCGUCCGCUAGAGAGAAGUCCCUGCAGUCCAACGUGGACAUAACUGCAGAGAGCUGGGUCAGACGAUCGCCAGCAGCCGGAACGUUUUCCAGAGUGCAGAGUCUUUAAAAAGAACGGCACUUUUGCUUGGGUUGUUCAUAGAGGAAUACUCUCUCCUGGAUUUGAACCUGUUGGCCUGGGAUUACGGGUAGCCAUUCUACAUCUCUGUGUGAAGCUGGAGAAUAAAGUCACCACAGAGAAAAGCAGAGAUAAAUGAAGAAGUUUGUGUCUUAAUAUGUCAUUGUUUGACCCUGAACCCAGCCUGACCUUGACUUUUCAAUUCCCUGAGCUAACAGUGUUUGGCAGUUUAAACUGUUCAAAGUACAUGUUUCCCUUGUUCUUCCCACUCGGCCACGCAGUUCCCACGUGGACCUAGGGCUACAGGAGGCAGCAGUGCCCGUCCCCUGCUCCUAGUCGGGCCAGAAUCUGUAGACCCAGCAUGUCUUCUCUGGCUUUGGAGCUUCCAGAAAAACGUCAGACGGCAAACUCCAGGCAGUGCCAAUCACCAAAAACUGUCUUCAGUAAAUAAACCCACUCUCCCUGAGGCUACCCUGCCCCCUUCGUCAAAGAAACACCUAGAAAUUGGUCAUCGUUUUGUUCCAGUUUCCUCCCCUAGAAAGCCCACGGCGCUCUGUACAUUCCAAUUUACCUUUGUUAAAUAGGGCCUCCAUACUAGGAGGUUUUAAACAUCACAAUUCCUGUUCCGGGUUUUUUGUUGGUAUCAAGCAAAUUUUUUUCAUGUAAAAAUUCAAGUAAGAAAAUGUAAGCCACUAAUUGGGAUCUUUAAAGACUUGAUAACAAGGCAGUUCACUGCGUGUUAGUAUAUUUUCUAUUCCAAAAUUGCUUUCACCAUUAUCCACUUGAAAUGUUUAAUCUGGGAAUUAAGUUUAGGUUUGCUGCAAGUUCAUGAUUUUUCAUAAAGACAAAUGUCUACUAAGAUGCUAAUACACAGUCUUAGUGAAAUACCUUACUGUCCUUUGCCAGAGAAGAACUUGAGGAGUUAGAAGGCCUGUCACACCUCUCUACUGCCUUCUGUAGCCCUGCCUCAGUCCGAGAGCCAGUAGUUUGUUAGGGGCCGAUCCAGAAAAGUCCAUGUUGCGUAGCUGAGUUACCACUCUUGUGGGUGUCCAUGGGUUACCAAAACUGAUCGAAUUGUGAUUUUAGAAAAGUUUUCCCAAAAACCCAGUGAUGGAGGCAUUCGGGGAUCUUGCAUUGUUAAGAAACCCGUUGCCGUGGAGUCAAUAGAACUGCCCCUUAGGGUUUCCAAGGAGCGCCUGGUGAAUUCAGAAUGCCAGCCUUUGGGUUAGCAGCCAACCGCUUAACCACUGUGCCACCAGGGCUUUGCACUGAGAGUGUCUAAUUAUUUGGUGACCUUGAACAAUGUAAGAAAUUCUCUCUCAAAAAAAUUCAGCUAGGGCUCAUCCAUUUUCACUGUCAAAUUCACUGAAGCAGAGUUU